rnacentral:rRNA from 1 species
AUCAUAUUGUCUGAGUACUAUAUAAUAGUUAAAACUUUCAACAACGGAUCUCUGGUUCUGGCAUCGAUGAAGAACGCAGCGAAAUGCGAUAAGUAAUGUGAAUUGCAGAAUUCAGUGAAUCAUCGAAUCUUUGAACGCACAUUGCGCCCUCUGGUAUUCCGGGGGGGCAUGCCUGUUCGAGCGUCAUUACAACCCUCAAGCUCUGCUUGGUAUUAAGCUUCACCUGAAAAAGGCGGGCUCUAAAAUCAGUGGCGGUGCCAUUCGGCUUCAAGCGUAGUAAUUUUUCUCGCUUUGGAUGACCGGUUGCGUGCCUGCCAUAACCCAAAAUUUUAUCAAAGGUUGACCUCGGAUCAGGUAGGGAUACCCGCUGAACUUAA